UCUAGGAUUUUGGGUGGUAGUUGCUGUACUAGAAGUGAAAAACUACUCUAAACAGAAGAAUGAACUUGCGUAUUUUAGAGCAACUGCUGCAUGUAUAAGGUGUUGAAUAUCUUCGUUUUGUCAGUGGUGUGAAGAAUGGGUGAAAUGCACUUCUCUUGGAAACAAAAAAUUGGGACACAAGCACCCACAGAGCUAAAGUGAUCUGUGAGAAGAUUCCAAAGAGAGGGAUGUGGCAAAUCUGGCUCAAAAAAAUGAUCCCAGGUUCUGGGUCUCUCAACUACUAUGAAAUAUGACUGCUAUUGACGUCCUUUGGGUAACUUCUAUGGAUUCGCUCCAACACGUAGAUUGUACUGAGCCUCUCUAGCUUACACUUGGGGUUAUGGCCAUUGUUAUUUCCACACAGAAGAGGUGAUUUAUUGGGAUUUCUUUUGGAAGGCAUCUGUUUGGUUUAUUCUCAUCCACAAGGAAGAAUACUUCUGG